CCCCGCCGCGCGGCGGGCGGGGCGGGGGCACGGGGGGAGGAAAGUAGGGGAUCGCAAGACCUUGCGCUUUUGGAGCGGCCGAUGUCUGAUUAGCUAGUUGGUGAGGUAAAGGCUUACCAAGGCUUCGAUCAGUAGCUGGUCUGAGAGGACGACCAGCCACACUGGGACUGAGACACGGCCCAGACUCCUACGGGAGGCAGCAGUGGGGAAUUUUGGACAAUGGGGGCAACCCUGAUCCAGCCAUGCCGCGUGAGUGAAGAAGGCCUUCGGGUUGUAAAGCUCUUUCAGCCGGAACGAAACGGUCACGGCUAAUNNNCGUGAUUACUGACGGUACCGGAAGAAGAAGCACCGGCUAACUACGUGCCAGCAGCCGCGGUAAUACGUAGGGUGCAAGCNNNNNUCGGAAUUACUGGGCGUAAAGCGUGCGCAGGCGGUUUGUAAGUCAGA
rnacentral:rRNA from 1 species